CCUUUAGAGGCACAAAAGAGUAAAAAUUCCAGAAAUUUUCCAGGUGCAAAGAAGAAACACCGAAAGGAGAUGAUUGCUGUCAAACGUCGUGAAAGAAUCCUGCGAAGGGGAGUUGAUCUUGAGAAAAUAAAUACGAAAUUGGAACAGAUUGUUUUGGAUGAGGUGGACAUGUUUGCUUUCCAACCUAUGCAUUCCCGUGAUUGUUCCCAGAUACAACGAUUAGCAGCAAUUUACCGUUUGCGCAGUGGUUGCCAAGGUUCGGGUAAGAAAAGAUUUUUAACAGUGACAAGAACUCAGCACACAAGCAUGCC
rnacentral:misc_RNA from 1 species